GGUUGACCUCGAAUCAGGUAGGAAUACCCGCUGAACUUAA
rnacentral:rRNA from 1 species